CCUACGGGGGGCAGCAGUGAGGAAUAUUGGUCAAUGGACGGGAGUCUGAACCAGCCAAGUAGCGUGAAGGAUGACUGCCCUAUGGGUUGUAAACUUCUUUUAUAUAGGAAUAAAAUGGUCCACGUGUGGGAUUUUGUAUGUACCAUAUGAAUAAGGAUCGGCUAACUCCGUGCCAGCAGCCGCGGUAAUACGGAGGAUCCGAGCGUUAUCCGGAUUUAUUGGGUUUAAAGGGAGCGUAGGUGGAUUGUUAAGUCAGUUGUGAAAGUUUGCGGCUCAACCGUAAAAUUGCAGUUGAUACUGGCAGUCUUGAGUACAGGAGAGGUGGGCGGAAUGCGUGGUGUAGCGGUGAAAUGCUUAGAUAUCACGAAGAACUCCGAUUGCGAAGGCAGCUCACUGGACUGCAACUGACACUGAGGCUCGAAAGUGUGGGGAUCAAACAGGAUUAGAUACCCGAGUAGUC
rnacentral:rRNA from 1 species